rnacentral:rRNA from 1 species
GACGAACCGUGCGAACGUUGUUCGGAAUCACUGGGCUUAAAGGGCGCGUAGGCGGGCUGUCAAGUCUGGGGUGAAAUCCCACGGCUCAACCGUGGAACUGCCUUAGAUACUGACGGCCUCGAGGGAGAUAGGGGCGAGCGGAACUGUGAGUGGAGCGGUGAAAUGCGUUGAUAUUCACAGGAACUCCGGUGGCGAAGGCGGCUCGCUGGAUCUUUUCUGACGCUGAGGCGCGAAAGCUAGGGGAGCAAACGGG